rnacentral:ncRNA from 1 species
GGCUCUCUGGAGAAUCCCUUAGAUGGGUGCCGAAGGUGAAAGUGGGUUAUCCGCGAAUCUCUCAGGCAAAAGGACAGUGUGAG